rnacentral:lncRNA from 1 species
CCUCCAUGGAUGCUCCACGUAACUCUACCAAUUAAGGUACUUUGGUGGCAAGUGGUUUUCCUAUGGUAAAAGGUCUCCUGAAGGACACCUUGCUGGGAAGGUCUUCUCUCUGACAUCCACUCAUGAAGCUCUACGACUUCCUAAGGAAGUUUGCAACAAUCCAGAAUGCCACAGCACAAAUUCUGUGACGACGUAUUACCAUCAUCAAUAAUAAUUAUCAGAAAUCAUGAUAAUUACCAGCAAAGCUGCCUGCUGCGGAUAAUGACAUCCAUCUAAGAAGGAUAACUGUGCAUGCUGAGGCUUGUCUGCUUGAGAGGAGUCCACCCGUUCACUCUGGAAGGUGGAAAAUGUCCAAUGCAAGGCUCUGUGAUGCUCCAGCUUACAGCAGAUUGAUGUCAGUGCAGCUCCUCUGGCAGCAGCAGGAUUGCUCUUCUGCACCAGGAUCGGGGCCAGGUUCUCUGCAGGGGAAAAGAGACAAGAAGCAAGCUGAACUGUUUGCAUUUGUGUCUUUGCCUCACGCUGUGCCCUGGUUAAAGCAAGGCAGCAGAGGGAUGCUUCUCCCUUCCAGGGAGAAGUCAGCAGUCAGCAGUCAGCAGGGCCUGAUGAGGGCAGUAAGAAUUGCUCAUGGCUACAUCCUUCAUGUGGGCAUCUCACAGCAGACACUUCUCAGUUGAACACUCGCUCCUGGCGGGCAGGUCCUUUGAUAUAGGCUGCUGUCACCAAAUUCCAACACCAGUGAGAAGAACUGAGCUAUGCUGGAGACGCAUUUAUCACCUGAAAUCUCUUGCCACCAGCACCUGAGCUGAACAAUUACACUCUUAAUAACAACUUCCAGGUAAUAACUCAAUAUAUAGAAACUGAGUGUUAAUGGCUGUUCAUCCCAACCUGCACACUGCUGUGUUCUGCCUCUUGCAUGGUGUUCCAUAAUUCAUGUGCUCACACAAUCCCUCCGCUGCCAUCGAUGCAGGCAGAAAUUCACUCUCUGACACGGCCUGCAAAAAAACCCAUUCAGAUGCUUCAGCUUUUAAACGUGCCGCAGAUGGAAAGCAUUGGUGAUGGUGUGUUAACAGAAACUCUCUGCUGCCUCCUUCCUGAGUGCUGGCCACUGCAGGCAACAGCAUGUCAGUGCUCCAGACUCAGAUAUGAGCUGAAAAUUACACGUUUGGAUGAUUAACUCCAUUUCACCUGCAGAUGUUAUCUACUGUAAUGAUUGAUAAAGAGACUGUUGUGGUCAUUGGG